rnacentral:tRNA from 1 species
CCCUCGAUAGCUCAGUUGGCAGAGCGGAGGACUGUAGAUGUAAUUAAACGGUGAUCCUUAGAUCGCUGGUUCAAAUCUGGCUCGAGGGA